rnacentral:rRNA from 1 species
UACGAAGGGGGCUAGCGUUGCUCGGAAUCACUGGGCGUAAAGCGCACGUAGGCGGAUUGUUAAGUCAGGGGUGAAAUCCUGGAGCUCAACUCCAGAACUGCCUUUGAUACUGGCGACUCGUCAGUCCGGGAGAGGUGAGUGGAACUGCGAGUGUAGAGGUGAAAUUCGUAGAUAUUCGCAAGAACACCAGUGGCGAAGGCG